CCUGCCUCAGCCUCCCGAGUAGCUGGGACUACAGGUGCCCACCACUACGCCCAGCUAAUUUUUUUUUUUUUGUAUUGUUAGUAGAGACGGGGUUUCACCAUGUUAACCAGGAUGGUCUCAAUCUCCUGACCUUGUCAUCUGCCCGUCUCGGCCUCCCAAAGUGCUGGGAUUACAGGCAUGAGCCACCGCGCCCAGCCAACGUCUUAUGUUUUUAUUUGCUUUGAGUGGCCAAAAAAUUGUAGAAUCAGUAAUUCGAGUAUAUGGGUGACUUUCAGUGUAAAACAACAAAAGCAAAGAUCUCAACCAGCUAAUUAUCUAUUCCUCAGUUUUGGUUGAAGAGAAGGCUCACAGAGGCUCAGGGAAGCCCUCAGGUUUCAUGGGGACAGCCUGAAGAAUGACCUUCAUAUAAUGGCCACACAGCCACUUGGGCCACCGGAGCUCACCGUGAGACACACUCACCAUCUCGUCUUCAUGUCUGGUGCUCCCUUUAGUUUUCUGGCAAGAAGCUAGGGAGAAGGUGACUUGAGCUCCUCGUGUGUUUUGAUCACUCAACAAAGAAGACAAAAGGGCGUUUCAUAACCUGACAGUGGGAGAGCACAUUAAAAAGCCCCAGGUAGGGACCAUUGCUGGGGAACUUGUGUGGUCAUUUGGAGGGUCAGUGAUGUGAGGGUACCUGCUUCAUGGGCCACACAGUGAGUUGACACAGGAGCUAAGACUGUCUCAGCCUUCUUUGCUCAACAGCAUUCCCAACCUCUUUGUGUUGGGCCCUGGACUCUUCCCUAAGGUUCUCUCCCUCAUCCAAUGACUGUGGGCAUGUGCUGUGCCAUGGUGUGAAGCUGGGUCUUCCUUUGUGCAAGCUGGGCUGGGUUACCUGGGAUCUGCAAUUUCCUGAAUAAAUGGAUCCAGACCCACUUCCAUGGUCGGUGUGGACAGAGCUCCUCCUUGCUUCAUCUUUCUGAGGAUAGAUAUCACUGGUGAUGUGUACAUUUCAGGACUUGAAGGAGGCCAAGUGGUGGCUAUUUAUAGGAGGCUGUAGAAAAGCUUGGACACAUGGCCUAGGAUGUUCAUAUGCAUAUGCCCAGGUCUCAUAAAAUGUAGGAUGGAGCCAAGCGUGGGAAGAGAGGAGAGGUAUAGGCCAGAGGCCUCCAGCUUUGCUACAGAAAGCUGAGAAUUCUGAGAAUUUGAAAUUCAAACUUUGCUUUUCGGUUGAUGAAAAGGUACAUUUGUCAAUGAAGGAGGAAGAAACGUAUUUGACAUUUGUUAUCUUGAUUUAUAACUCUUGCAUAUUUACCCAUAUGGUAUAUGUCAGCUUCCAUAUGUACUUGUGCCCUAGGUAUGCAAAUGUUAGGAGAGGGUCUGUGCAAAGGGCAGAGGCAGUGUGUGUUGUUGGUCUAUUGUGUCAACCUGCAGAGAGCUGAGUCUUUCUCCAGCCCUCUCCCUUGAGGGUGGGACGGUUUUUGUAGGGUGGUACUGCUUUCAACUUUAACUCCACUCCCAAACCACCUCAGCUCAAGAGUCAGCAAUGGCUGCUCCAGUCUAUAGGAAGAACCCUGAAGACCUAUGGGAUAUUCUGGACCUAAUCUACUGUCUUUAACCUACCUCUCACCACUAUCCUCUUCUCUUCCAUGAACCUUCUGUCUGGUAGCACAAGCCCCUUCACUACUUCUCCAUGCUCCUUCUCCCCAUAACUCCCCUACAUUACACACACAUGCAUACACAAGCACACAUGCAUAUAGGUGCACAUACACACAUGCACGUGCAGGCAAGCAGGUUCCUUCCUGUCAAUUGACUCAUGACACUAAUUCUGUCUCAAAUACCAUUCGCUCUUCUCUCCAUCCCAUCCAAAUCCUACCCAUUUAAAAAGAUCUAGUUUAACUUCCUAAACUUUGUUUAUUCAUUAAUUCAUACGAUGACUAGUAAUUGACACUGUACUAAGCCCUAGCUUACAGCCAUGUGAAUACAUAUUUUUCUCUAAUCCAGUUUGCCUUGAUCUCUAUUUUCUGAACAUCUAUAUCAUAUGUCAUUUCUACUUAAUUUUAAUAAGGUUUCAACACUGUUGUCUAAAUUUUCCCAGUUGUAGAUUUUGUCUUAAACUAGAUGAUAUAUUUUUGAUGAGCAGGAACUCUGUGCUGGGCCAUGUUUACAUUUUACUCAUUGGCCUACAGAAUUUAGUGGCAUAAAGUUGAUAUGUAGAAAAGGGCCAUUGAUUAAGUGAUAGGCAGAUUGAUGGAGGGAUCAAUUGAUUUGCUGCCAAGCCACAUCCCAUGUAAGGGAAUUUUCAGAGUAUGGGUGGUCUGGCUUCCAUUCUUUCUCUGCCAUUUUUAAUGAAUUGUUUCUAAUGUAUUAUGGAUGUAUAAUGCCUGAAUUCAUUUCAGCCCCUUUGAACAUAUUGAUAUUUUGGCCUGAAGUCUUAGUAAGAAUGAUUUCUGUAUUAUGACUUUGAGUUUUUAUUUGUAACUUAUAACAAAUUACUCUUGUAGAAAAUCUUUUGUUGAAAUAAAUUCAGUUAUUUAUUAUUUCUUAUUAUUUCCAUAUGACAUUUGGUUUGCUUUUCUAACAUCUCUAACAUCUCUUCUGGUGGGGCUGGAAUCCCUGUUUCUAUCUCUCUUCUUUCAAGAAAGAAGCUUAUAUUGAAGCAGUAUUUCUCAAAAGUAUGGAGCCUGGGUCAGUGCCAUAAGCAUCAUCUAGAAACCUGCUAGAAAUGCAGUUAUCAGGACCCAGUCCAGACCUAUCAAUCAUUUCAACAAGCCUUCUAGGUGAUUCUGAUGCAUGCUAAAAUUUGUGAAUCAAUCUAUUAGUUGAAAGAACACUGAGCUGGCAGUGUAGACCCUGAAUUUUGGCUCUGGCUAUGUUAUUAAAGGCUGUGUGACUCACUCUGAGUCUUGGUUUCCUUGUGCCCAUUUUUCUGUCUGUCUUGGUGUUUUGGGGGAUAAAGGCGGACUAUUCUCCACUUGGUUUUUUAACUGCCAACAUGGUGACAAUAACAAUGAUGCUUCAUAAGGUCGUCUUAACGAUCAAAUAAUUUAUUACGUACUCAUCCUUAUAGAAUUUUUUUUUAAACCUCUCAGAAUAAAGGGAGCCCAGGCUUUCAUUAUUUUACAUUGGGUUGCACAAUCGAGAAAUCUUGAUUUCCACCAUUUGUAAGUGUUACAGCCCAGUGGGGAAUGCACACACACUUGCCCAUAGAAUGAGUAUACCUGAAGUGCCCCAAUAAGUGGUAUAUACGAUGACAAUAACCUCAGAAGAGGAAGCAGCUUCUGAGAGCUGGAGUGGUCACACUGAGAAGGUUGCAUCUCAAAGAUGAGUUCUGGAUUGAGACUUAAAGAUAGGUUACAGAUAGAUGAAUAGUGAGGAGGGGCACUCCUGGUCAGCUCAGGCAGGUGAAUGCCAGGGUUAAACAUGGCAGUCUAAAAUGGGGGUGUAAAGUGAAGACAAUGAGUAGAUCAAUUGCCAGGAAUGGGGUAUGUGUUGAGAGAUUUAGUGGAAGAUAACUUGGAAAAGAUGUUGGGACUAGGUGUUGAGGGUCUUGACAGAAGGCAAAAGAACCUGGAAACUCCAAGAGAGAACACUAGCAUAAGAGGUCAGUGGUUAUGUUUUAGAUGUCUUCAGGGUCAGUAGGAUAUUUACGUGGUGAUUUGUUGGGGGCAUCUUAUCACAUGCUUUUAGGAAAGAAGACGGAAGGUAGUUCUGAACCCUUGAAUUCUAUUUUGGGAAUUGCCUUGGCUGGCUCAAUGGAGCCAGUCUAAAUGCAUAUGUGUUAAUUAACUCUGAACAGCUUUAAAGACUGACCUAAUCACAAAGUUUCAGAUACCCCAGAGGAAAGGAAACAAGUUGAUCAUAGCGGUAGCUCUCAGUUCUGGCUAUAUAUUAGAAUCACUGGGGAGCUUUAAAAAAAUCCAUAUCUGGACUCUACCCCAGAGAUUUUGGUUUAAUUGGUCCAGGAUGGGGUCUAUGCACUGUUUUAAAAGCUCCCCAGGUGGAUCUAAUGUGCAGCCAGGGAGUGAACCACUGCCCCUGGAGGAGCAAGCAGGUAUAACUGUAGGUACAGAUAAUGUUCAACCAACCCUAUCAAUCAACCCAUAUUAUAUUUUACUCAAUGAGAAAAUGUUUCUGUUGUUUCAGACAUCAGUUUUCUCUGAUUUUUGGUGGCUCUUCAAGUAAUGGAUCAGACUGCCGUUGUCUUGGCAGGCUGGGGAGUCUGGCAGAUAUGAGUGAUCUUGGCUGGUAUAAUAAAAAAAUAUGGACCCAGAGAAGAAAACAUAAGAUGUGGGCCCCGUUGAGCGGAGCAGUGGAAAGGCCAUCUUAAGACUUCUGUGUAAUGCUCAGCAAGGAGUCAGGAGCUACGGACUAGGACCAUUACUUUAAAGACGUUGUCUGAUUUCUUAGAAUUUUAUAAUGAUCACGUUUAUUUUUAAUACUCCCUUCUGUAG
rnacentral:lncRNA from 1 species